rnacentral:rRNA from 1 species
CCUACGGGAGGCAGCAGUGAGGAAUAUUGGUCAAUGGGCGCGAGCCUGAACCAGCCACGCAGCGUGAAGGAUGACUGCCCUACGGGUUGUAAACUUCUUUUAUAAAGGAAUAAAGUGAGGCACGUGAGCCUUUUUGUAUGUACUUUAUGAAUAAGGAUCGGCUAACUCCGUGCCAGCAGCCGCGGUAAUACGGAGGAUCCGAGCGUUACCCGGAUUUAUUGGGUUUAAAGGGAGCGUAGAUGGGUUGUUAAGUUAGUUGUGAAAGUUUGCGGCUCAACCGUAAAAUUGCAAUUGAUACUGGCAGACUUGAGUACAGUUGAGGUAGGCGGAAUUCGUGGUGUAGCGGUGAAAUGCUUAGAUAUCACGAAGAACUCCGAUUGCGAAGGCAGCUUACUAAACUGCCACUGACGUUGAUGCUCGAAAGUGUGGGUAUCAAACAGGAUUAGAUACCCGGGUAGUC